rnacentral:rRNA from 1 species
UACAGAGGUCCCAAGCGUUGUUCGGAUUCACUGGGCGUAAAGGGUGCGUAGGCGGUCGGGUAAGUCUGAUGUGAAAUCUCACAGCUUAACUGUGAAACUGCAUUGGAUACUAUCCGGCUCGAGGAAUGGAGGGGAGACUGGAAUACUUGGUGUAGCAGUGAAAUGCGUAGAUAUCUGGAGGAACACCGGUGGCGAAGGCGGCAUCCUGGACCGAUAUUGACGCUGAGGAGCGAAAGCCAGGGGAGCAAACGGG